rnacentral:rRNA from 2 species
AGUCGAGCGGUAAGGCCCUUCGGGGUACACGAGCGGCGAACGGGUGAGUAACACGUGGGUGAUCUGCCCUGCACUUCGGGAUAAGCCUGGGAAACUGGGUCUAAUACCGGAUAGGACCUCUUGCCGCAUGGUGGGGGGUGGAAAGGUUUACUGGUGCAGGAUGGGCCCGCGGCCUAUCAGCUUGUUGGUGGGGUAAUGGCCUACCAAGGCGACGACGGGUAGCCGACCUGAGAGGGUGACCGGCCACACUGGGACUGAGACACGGCCCAGACUCCUACGGGAGGCAGCAGUGGGGAAUAUUGCACAAUGGGCGAAAGCCUGAUGCAGCGACGCCGCGUGAGGGAUGACGGCCUUCGGGUUGUAAACCUCUUUCAGCGCCGACGAAGCGUAAGUGACGGUAGGCGCAGAAGAAGCACCGGCCAACUACGUGCCAGCAGCCGCGGUAAUACGUAGGGUGCAAGCGUUGUCCGGAAUUACUGGGCGUAAAGAGCUCGUAGGCGGUUUGUCGCGUCGUCUGUGAAAACUCGUAGCUCAACUACGGGCGUGCAGGCGAUACGGGCAGACUCGAGUACUGCAGGGGAGACUGGAAUUCCUGGUG